GGAUCUAAAAUCUCUACAUUUCUGCUGAGAGCAGGAAACGGUUCUCUCUCUCAUCAUGGCUGGCGUGGCUUCUACUCUGGCCAAGAAAAGGGCCCUGGCUGCGGGCUUCGGCACCAACGCCAACGCGGUGAAGUACCUGAACCAGGACUUCCAUUCGCUACGGGCGCAGAGUCAGAGCCAAGGGGCGCUGUUCUGCGACCACACCUUCGCUGCCGCUCCAGAGUCUCUUGGCUUCAAAGACCUCGGUCGGAACUCCCCUAAGACCCGCGGUGUGACCUGGAAGAGACCCACGGAGCUGGUGUCCAGCCCAGAGUUUAUCAUCGGAGGAGCGACCAGGACGGACAUCUGCCAGGGAGGGCUAGGUGACUGCUGGCUGCUGGCUGCCAUCGCCUCCCUGACGCUCAACGAGGAUGUGAUGGCCCGCGUGGUGCCGUCCGACCAGGACUUUGGAGACCAGUACGCUGGAAUAUUCCACUUCCAGUUCUGGCAGUACGGCGAGUGGGUGGACGUUGUCAUUGACGACCGCCUGCCAGUCAAAGAUGGAGAGUUGCUAUUCGUCCAUUCUGCUGAGGGGCGGGAGUUCUGGAGUGCUCUGUUGGAGAAGGCCUAUGCCAAGGUGUGUGGCUGCUACGAGGCCCUCUCUGGUGGCUCCACCACGGAAGGCUUUGAGGACUUCACCGGAGGCAUCGCCGAGAACUUUGAUCUCAAGAAUGCCCCCCCCAACAUGUUCCAGAUCGUCAAGAAGGCCCUGGAGGCAGGAUCACUCCUUGGCUGCUCCAUCGACAUCACCAGUGCUUCUGACUCUGAGGCUGUGACGCGCCAGAAGCUGGUCAAAGGUCACGCCUACUCCCUGACCGGCGCUGUAGAGGUGGGCUACCGCGGUCGGCGGGAGAAGCUGAUCCGGGUGAGGAACCCCUGGGGUCAGGUGGAGUGGACCGGGGCCUGGAGCGACGGGUCAUCAGAGUGGAACUCUGUCGAGGGAGAAUGUCCCAACGCCAAUGCAGAGGACGGAGAAUUCUGGAUGUCCUUCACUGAGUUCAUGAGACACUACUCUCGUAUCGAGAUCUGCACCCUGACCCCAGACACCAUCCUGGACGACUCCAUCAAACACUGGAGUGUCGGGAAGUUCGACGGAACCUGGAGGAAAGGGUCCACAGCAGGCGGCUGCCGCAACAACCCCUACACCUUCUGGACAAACCCCCAGUUUGUGAUCAAGCUGAAUGAGGAGGAUGACGACCCCGAGGACGGAGAGGAGGGCUGCAGUGUGGUGCUGGGGCUGAUCCAGAAGAACCGUAGGAAGAUGAGGAAGUCUGGGGAAGACAUGCACACCAUAGGCUUCGCCAUAUACGAGCUCCCCGAACAGUUCCACGGGCAGACGCAGGUGCACCUCGAUAAGAACUUCUUCCUGAGCCACGCCCAGAAGGCCCGCUCCGAGACCUUCAUUAACCUGCGUGAGGUCAGCACGCGCUUCAAGCUGCCCCCCGGGGAGUACCUGGUGGUGCCUUCCACCUACGAAGCCCACCUCAACGGAGACUUCUGCAUCCGCGUCUUCUCGGAGAAACAGUCCCAGACAAUACCGUGUGAUGAUCCUGUCGAAGCUGAGCUUGAAGAUGAGGAGGUUUCUGACGAGGAUGUGGAUGCUGGUUUCAGAGGUCUGUUCACCAAGCUCGCUGGAGAUGAUAUGGAAAUCUCUUAUGCGGAGUUGAGAACCAUUUUGAAUAAGAUCGUUUCCAAACGAACCGACAUAAAAACUGAUGGCUUCUGCUGCGAAACCUGCAGGGUCAUGGUCAACCUAUUGGACGAGAGUGGAAACGGAAAGCUGGGUCUUGGAGAGUUUGCAACUCUGUGGAAAAAAGUUCAGAAAUAUCUGACGAUCUACAAGCAGAAUGACGGUGAUAACUCAGGGACGAUGAGCACACCAGAGAUGCGUGGCGCUCUAAAAUCUGCAGGUGAGCUCAACAUGGACACCUAAUUCCAUGUCAUGACCUUGAGUGGUUGAGAUCUUAUGUUGUCCCUGACAUGCUGGACAUGAACCAUGAAUAUAAAUGUGUAUUGUGUGUGUGUGUGUGUGUGUGUGUGUGUGUGUGUGUGUGUGUGUGUGUGUGUGUGUGUUUAUCCUGAACAUGGUGUGUGUGUGUGUGUGUGUGUGUGUGUGUGUGUGUGUGUGUGUGUGUGUGUGUGUGUGUGUGUGUGUGUGUGUGUGUGUGUGUGUGUGUGUGUGUGUGUGUGUGUGUGUGUGUGUGUGUAUGUUUAUCCUGAACAUGUUGUGUGUGUGUGUGUGUGUGUGUGUGUGUGUGUGUGUGUGUGUGUGUGUGUGUGUGUGUGUGUGUGUGUGUGUGUGUGUGUGUGUGUGUGUGUGUGUGUGUGUGUGUGUGUGUG